AAUAAAACGUUGAGCAGAAAAAGUAGGCACUUGGGUUCCAACAGAGAUUUCCCGGUUGGUGCAAGGGAAAAACACAAGUGGACGAACACACGUCUGUGAGCAAACGAUUGAAUGAAGUAGGUCGUUUCGGUGGGCUCGUUAUCGCCGUAGUUCUUAACAACUACAUAAGGUGGCCUUUGUGAGAAGGUCAUAAACCUUGAGGUGGAACCGUGCCGACGCACCCUCUUGAAUCUAGAUUGAUUCGAGUGGGUGCUUUUUUGUUAGGAACUGCAUGAGGUUUUUUGUGUGAACAAAAAGCAAAUAAAGGUGGAACCACGUGUGAACGUCCUUUAA
rnacentral:ncRNA from 1 species